rnacentral:rRNA from 1 species
AACGAACGCUGGCGGCAUGCCUAACACAUGCAAGUCGAACGAGACCUUCGGGUCUAGUGGCGCACGGGUGCGUAACGCGUGGGAACCUGCCCUUAGGUUCGGAAUAACUCCCCGAAAGGGGUGCUAAUACCGGAUAAUGUCUUCGGACCAAAGAUUUAUCGCCUUUGGAUGGGCCCGCGUUGGAUUAGCUAGUUGGUAGGGUAAAAGCCUACCAAGGCGACGAUCCAUAGCUGGUCUGAGAGGAUGAUCAGCCACACUGGGACUGAGACACGGCCCAGACUACUACGGGAGGCAGCAGUGGGGAAUAUUGGAAAAUGGGCGAAAGCCUGAUCAAGCAAUGACGCGUGAGUGAUGAAGGCCUUAGGGUUGUAAAGCUCUUUUAACCGGGAUGAUAAUGACAGUACCGGGAGAAUAAGCUCCGGCUAACUCCGUG